UUGCUCACAACUUAAACUACUUUUCACACCUCACACUUUUCAAAACCUCCAUUAGAAAAUCACCACUUGGCAUACAUUCGUACUAGAAUCAUUGUCAAGUUAUAUUUUUCUAAACAACUUUCAAAAUUAAACGAGAUAAAUACUUUGUAUACAUUCGUACAAGAAUCAUUACAAAGUUAAACUCUCUUUUCAAAACAUUUUCU
rnacentral:lncRNA from 1 species